UGAUGAGUGAAUCCAUGCCAAAGCCACG
rnacentral:sRNA from 1 species